rnacentral:rRNA from 1 species
CCUACGGGAGGCAGCAGUGGGGAAUAUUGCACAAUGGGGGAAACCCUGAUGCAGCGACGCCGCGUGGAGGAAGAAGGUCUUUCGGAUUGUAAACUCCUGUUGUUGAGGAAGAUAAUGACGGUACUCAACAAGGAAGUGACGGCUAACUACGUGCCAGCAG